rnacentral:rRNA from 1 species
CAGCCGCCGCGGGAAUACGUAGGUCCCGAGCGUUGUCCGGAUUUAUUGGGCGUAAAGCGAGCGCAGGCGGUUAGAUAAGUCUGAAGUUAAAGGCUGUGGCUUAACCAUAGUACGCUUUGGAAACUGUUUAACUUGAGUGCAGAAGGGGAGAGUGGAAUUCCAUGUGUAGCGGUGAAAUGCGUAGAUAUAUGGAGGAACACCGGUGGCGAAAGCGGCUCUCUGGUCUGUAACUGACGCUGAGGCUCGAAAGCGUGGGGAGCGAACAGGAUUAGAUACCCCUGUAGUCCCUGUCUCUUAUACA